AUGAAAAUGCAUGCUGAGAAGAAGCACAAAUAUAGUAAGUGCAGCAAUUCAUAUGGCACAGAAUGGGACUUGAAAAGACACGCAGAGGACUGUGGCAAGAUCUUCCAGUGCACAUGUGGCUGUCCCUAUGCCAGUAGAACAGCACUGCAGUCUCACAUCUACCGAAUUGGCCACGAGAUCUCUGUAGAACACAGGGAUCCACCUAGUUAAAAAAAAAAAGGAAAAUGGAAAACUACUUGUAAAACCAGAAGGUAUUCAAUAAGACCAUUGAAUCACUGAACAACCAGCCAAUCCCUAGAUUAGACACUCAAGAACUAGAACCUUCAGAAAUAAAGCUAGAACCAUCUUUUGAAGACUCUUGAGGCUCUAACGCUGAAAAGCAAACCUCUUACAACACUGCCAAGAUAUCCUCAGAAGUGGCUUUGGUUAAACUACCAGUGAUGCAGUUUUCUCUCAUGUCUGUCUUUGUGCCUACAGCCGACUCCUUAGCCCAGUUCUUGGUGGUAAGUGUCCAUCAGGGCUCUGCCACACGGGCGGUGCACUUUCUGCCCUUGUUGGUAGGGACUCUGACCCUUGGCCUAGAUUCAGAGGCUUGCUCUCUAAAGGAGAGUAUACCUCUUUUCAAAACGGCUAAUCCUGUUGCUGUUGAGCCCAUAAGUACAGGUGUUCAAGUGAACUUGUAUAAAAAUCCAUCUGCUCAUUUACAAGAACUAGGGAACACAUGUCAAAAGAACAGCAUUUCUUCCAUCAGUGUGCAGGCAGGUCUGUCUUAUGCCUCACAAAACAACUUUAUACCUUCUGCACAGUGGGCCAGCACUGAUUCCUCUGUGUCAUCUUGUUCUCAAACUGAUUUGUCAUUUGAUUCUCAAGAGUCUCUUCCCAUUAGUGUUGACACUCAGACAAUUUUUGCCCAGCUCUAAGGUAACUUCAUGAAUAGCUGCUCAGACUGAUGCAGUUAUUGACACCUGUUUCCAGUCAGGUGGAGUCUCCAGAGAAACUCAAACCAGUGGGAUACAAAGUCCAACAGAAGACUACGUACAGAUGGACCAAGCUGCAAUGUGUGGAGACAUUUUUGAGAGUGCUCAUUCAUCAUAUAAUGUUGUUACAGGUAACAUUAUAAAUAACAGUUUAGUAGCAGAGAUAGUAACUCAUAGUUUUUUACCUCAGAAUGACCCUAAGACUUUAAAUCAAGAUAUUUAGAAAUCUGCACCAAUUAUGAACUUCAGUGCACAGAAUAGUAUGCUUCCUUCACAGAACAUGACAGAUAAUCAGACCCAAACCAUGGAUUUAUUAAGUGAUUUGGAAAACAUCUUGUCAAGUAAUCUUGUCAAGCUCAGACAUUGGAUCAUCUUUUGUCUGACACAAAUCCUGGACCUGACACCCAGCUCCCAUCUGGCCCAGCCCAGAAUCCUGGAAUCAAUUUUGAUAUCAAAGAGCUCUUUUCACUCUCGAAUAUCCAGACUCAAACUGAAGAGAGUGGACUUAGCACCAUGAACACUGAGCCAGUCUUGGAGUCACUGGCCAUAGAGACUCAAACAGACUUCCUACUUGCAGAUACCUCUGCUCAGUCCUACGGGUGUAGGGGAAAUUCUAACUUCUUAGGCCUUGAGAUGUUUGACGCACAGACACAGACAGACUUAAACUUUUUCUUAGACAGUAGCCCUCAUCUGCCUCUGGGAAGUAUUCUGAAACACUCCAGCUUUUUCAUGAGUACUGAUUCAUCUGACACAGAGACUCAAACUGAAGGGAUCUCCAGUGCUAAAAAUAUACCUGCUCUAGAAAGCAAAGUUCAGUUGAACAGUACAGAAACACACACCAGGAGUUCUGCGUUUGAAACCCUGGGGAACUUGUUCUUCACCAGCAAUGAAACUCGAACAGCGAUGGAUGACUUUAUUCUGGCUGAUCUGGCCUGGAACACGAUGGAGUCUCAGUUCACCUCUGUAGAAACCCAGACCUCUGCUGAACCACACACAGCCUCCAACUUCUAA